UUCGAAGGAUAAGGGCAAACGAAAGAAUAAGGAUAAUAAGGUUGCUGCUUCUAAUGGUCCAGAACAAAAGAAACAGAAAGUUGAGGUAACAUGUUUCUUCUGUAAUAAGCCUAGACAUACUAAGAAGGAAUGUACCAAGUAUGCUGCUUGGCGUGUUAAGAAAGGGUUGCCUGAGUUACCGAAAACCAAGUGAUGCUGAAAGAUGCAUCUAUGUCGGAGACGGUCAGUCGGUAGAAGUAGAGGCAAUAGGGCACUUUAGAUUAUUAUUGAAAUCUGGUUAUUUUUUGGAUUUAAUAGAUACUUUUAUUGUACCGUCUUUCAGACGGAAUUUAA